rnacentral:rRNA from 1 species
AGAACGAACGCUGGCGGCAUGCCUAACACAUGCAAGUCGAACGCUCUUGGGGUUUCGGCCUCAAGGGAGUGGCGCACGGGUGAGUAGCGCGUGGGAACCUGCCCUGUUGUGGGGGAUAACCGAGGGAAACUUCGGCUAAUACCGCAUGCGCCCCGGAGCAAUCCGGGGGAAAGAUUUAUCGCAGCAGGAGGGGCCCGCGUCGGAUUAGCUAGUUGGUGGGGUAACGGCCCACAAGGCUGUGAUCCGUAGCUGGUCUGAGAGGAUGAUCAGCCACACUGGGACUGAGACACGGCCCAGACUCCUACGGGAGGCAGCAGUGGGGAAUAUUGGACAAUGGGCGCAAGCCUGAUCCAGCAAUGCCGCGUGAGUGAUGAAGGCCUUAGGGUUGUAAAGCUCUUUCGCCCGCGACGAUGAUGACGGUAGCGGGAGAAGAAGCCCCGGCUAACGUUCGCGCCAGCAGCCGCGGUAA